rnacentral:snRNA from 1 species
GUGAUUACCUUUCCGUUUCUUUUUGGUGUCAUGUUCGGAGACAUUGGUCACGGUGUUUUACUGUUUGUGUUUUCCUGUUUCAUUA